rnacentral:rRNA from 1 species
GAUGAACGCUGGCUACAGGCUUAACACAUGCAAGUCGAGGGGAAACGACGGGGAAGCUUGCUUCCUUGGGCGUCGACCGGCGCACGGGUGAGUAACGCGUAUCCAGCCUGCCUCUGACUGAGGGAUAACCCGUCGAAAGUCGGCCUAAUACCUCAUGGCAUCGUCUGCGGGCAUCCAACGACGAUUAAAGAUUUCAUCGGUCAGGGAUGGGGAUGCGUCUGAUUAGCUUGUUGGCGGGGUAACGGCCCACCAAGGCGACGAUCAGUAGGGGUUCUGAGAGGAAGGUCCCCCACAUUGGAACUGAGACACGGUCCAAACUCCUACGGGAGGCAGCAGUGAGGAAUAUUGGUCAAUGGGCGGGAGCCUGAACCAGCCAAGUAGCGUGCAGGAUGACGGCCCUAUGGGUUGUAAACUGCUUUUAUGCGGGGAUAAAGUGAGGGACGUGUCCUUCAUUGCAGGUACCGCAUGAAUAAGGACCGGCUAAUUCCGUGCCAGCAGCCGCGGUAAUACGGAAGGUCCGGGCGUUAUCCGGAUUUAUUGGGUUUAAAGGGAGCGUAGGCCGUGGAUUAAGCGUGUUGUGAAAUGCAGGUGCUCAACGUCUGCACUGCAGCGCGAACUGGUCCACUUGAGUGUGCGCAACGCAGGCGGAAUUCGUCGUGUAGCGGUGAAAUGCUUAGAUAUGACGAAGAACUCCGAUUGCGAAGGCAGCUUGCGGGAGCACAACUGACGCUGAAGCUCGAAAGUGCGGGUAUCGAACAGG